AUUUUGCUGGAGACCCCUGUGUACCUGAGGCCACCUGAAGAGAGAAUGAGAAGCUGACACCAGGGUUGGCAAUGGUGUAUCAUAUAUAGCCUCAAGAGAGUUGGCUGGAGACUGGAGAAAUCUGUCAUAGAGUGCCAACCAUUCAUUUUCCUCACCAUUAGCUGUCUGAACAGUGUUUUGCCUUUAUCUGUCCUCCCACGGUAGAAAGCAUCAGAGUCUUUGAUACUGCUGUCAGAAGCUCUCAGCGAUGUAUGAAAAUGAAGAGAAAAGCAGUGAAAACACAGAGGUGAUCCUGCACUGUGGGAGAUGGCUUGUUGUCAUAACUGUAGUACUGCUAUCAGUUGUAGUUAGCCCUUUGGACACUUCUUCAGGGCUUCGUCCGUGAUGACACAAAAUGCUUUAUAAAUAACAUCGAAUUUACAUUUGUAGCCUUGGUCCAACCUGGGCAUGAUUUAUACCCCACAGUAGAUUUGGAAAAAUGGAGACAUCCAACAACAAAAAACUUUGCUUAGCAGUUAUGUAGUAAAUUAAAGGGAUGGAGGGAAACAAAAAAACCUCCACUCUCAGCAUCACAGUCCAGCUCUGAGCUAUUACCUUCCAUUGCUCAAGAAAAACAAAGGCAUUAUCCUGCAUGACAUCCCUACUGGUGUCCAAAUUGGUUUUACUUUCUUCUGCCUCCUAAGCUGCACCAAAGCCAAAGAUUCCCAACAGACAUUUUGAGAAAGCAUGGAGGGAGGGAAUGGAGCGGGGUGGCAUUACAUUUUAUCACCCCCUAAACUGUAAUACUUUCCUUUGCAUGCUCUGUUUCUUAUUCACAUGCCUAUAAAAUUCUCCACAUCCGGGCAAGAAGAUCUCUCCAGUCAACCAGGCGGUGUUUACGAACUGGAAAAGGCAUUGCUCCUCACCAUAGGGGUGAAACAGAAACAUUAACAAGUUACUUACAGUUUUCUCUUUCCUGGUUGGACAAUCAGACCUCUUUUAAUGCCCCGGGAGGGGUGUAGCAAUUUAGGGACAUUUUAUAUCUCUGAAGAUUUGUAAUCAGCAAAUUGCCUGGAACACUCUUCAUUUCCCCACCCUCCUCCCCUCCGCAGUGUCCCACCAUGGAGCCUCUUGCUAGGGACAUCUUGAUGUUUGUGGUCUCACAGAUUCCUUGCUCAAGCCAAACACAUUUCUUGGAAUGCUGGUUCUCAGCCCAGCUUGCUUUACAUCAUAAAUGUAAAAAUGUUUCUUUUAUAAAAAUAAAAAGUGAAGAAAAAAAGAAGAAACACACAACCAACCUAUAAACAGAACAUAAAAGCUGUUUAAUGGAGUGCAUAAUGAAGCAGAAAGGAAACAGACUUGCACUGAUUUUCCUUGACAUUUCACCUAUUAAAUUACAAGUUUCUUAUGGAAGAGCUUGAAUAUGUUUUCGAGUCUACUUAAGUCCUUUAAUGAAUAAAACACCACUGUUGUUCCCAU
ensembl:lncRNA